AGCUAGUGUCCACAUGCAGACUGCAAGGCCAGAGGGGCUGAAGAACAAGAGUCGAGGUCUUCUGAGAGAGAAAAGGAGGAAUGGUUGCAGUGGGAAGCACCAUCAGAGAUCUUAGGAGAAUAAAGGAUUUCUGAAACAAUCCUUGAGAAGACUGGGGAAGGGAUUUGAUCAGGGGCACCCAGGGGAACUGCCAGGCAGCUUCAAGGACUUAUUUUAGGUUGGCAGGUUCACACAGCCUAGUUGUUUUACAGGAAUAUGGAGUUAGCUCUUGUCCAGUGCCAACUGGCUAAGGCUGGAUGGGACCACUGACCCUAAAACUGGGCCUGUGUAGGUGCCUGAUGAAUGACAUCAGAGGAUUGGGAAACUCCAUCCUAAGAUCCUGCUAAGUGCCUUCAUUUUUGGAUGUGCAGAACUCCAAGAGGCUGCCUGCAUUUCUUGGUGCACAGCCCCUUCUUCGAUCUUCAAAACCAGGAGUGAUUGGUGGAAUUGUCAUCUUGCUACAUCCCUCAGACAUUCCUCUAUCUGGACAAAAUCUCCCUCUGUCACCUUUGUGAUUACAUUGGGUCCAUCUGGAUAAUCCAGGCUGAUUAAGGUCCCCAAGUCAAGACCCUUAAUUUGAUGACAUCUGCCAAGUCUGCUUCACCAUUAUGGCUAUUUCCAUGAUCGAGGUAAUCUGGAGUUGUUUCCAGUUCUCUGCUGUUGUGCAGAAAGGUGGUGCUGCGGCUCCUUAGCAGUCUGGGCCCGGGUCCUUCCUUGUGAAUUGCAGUCCAGGCCGCUGGAAACUGCUGAGUCAGAGGCGCGUGCACGUGUGAAUCAUGAGUGCCGGCGCCUGGUGAGUCCCAGAGUUCGGACACCCGCUGACAUCACCUGUUGGUCUUCGGGCCGAGGGGCGCCCGGGGACCAGACCCUCGCGCGGAGCGGGCCCCAGGGACCUGACGCCCGGUGGCGGCUGCAGAAAGGCCUGGGCGGGGCGGCCGGGGGCCUUUGUGCGCACCAGACACCAGAUGGGACUCGAGAUGGGGAGGGACCUGUGAGCAGGUCAGAUGGCAGGCUUUCCACAGACC
ensembl:lncRNA